rnacentral:misc_RNA from 1 species
CGCACAUUGCGCCUGCUGGUAUUCCGGUAGGCAUGCCUGUUCGAGCGUCAGCAAAACCUCUCAGCAGAAAUUUUAUUUUUGUUGGUUAUGGGCUGUGGAGAAAUGGCUAUUGCAGCCGCUCCCGCCUUAAACUUGCUGCACGACCGCAAGCUUAUGCUAGGUUAAUGGAGUGGUGUUUACAUUUAAUCCAACUACUUUUGCAUUGCUUGGUGGCGUUAAACCUGAUAGUUGCCUCACCGCAACCGAAGUUUUGACCUCGAAUCAGACAAGGAUACCCGCUGAACUUAA